UGCGUAGGCGGCGGAGUAAGUUGGGUGUGAAAUCCCGGGGCUUAACCUCGGAAUGGCAUUCAAUACUGCUUCGCUCGAGUACUGGAGAGGAGGCUGGAAUUUACGGUGUAGCAGUGAAAUGCGUAGAUAUCGUAAGGAAGGCCGGUGGCGAAAGCGAGCCUCUGGACAGUUACUGACGCUGAUGCACGAAGGGCCAGGGAGCAAACG
rnacentral:rRNA from 1 species